UACGUAGGGUGCGAGCGUUGUCCGGAAUUACUGGGCGUAAAGGGUGCGUAGGCGGUCUUUCAAGCCAGAAGUGAAAGGCUACGGCUCAACCGUAGUAAGCUUUUGGAACUGUAAGACUUGAGUGCAGGAGAGGAGAGUGGAAUUCCUAGUGUAGCGGUGAAAUGCGUAGAUAUUAGGAGGAACACCAGUAGCGAAGGCGGCUUUCUGGCCGACAACUGACGCUGAGGCGCGAAAGCGUGGGGAGCAAACAGGAUUAGAUACCCUGGUAGUCCCU
rnacentral:rRNA from 1 species